rnacentral:lncRNA from 13 species
GAGCUUUCCUCACAACUUACCUUUUUCUUCUAGCACAAGGACCAUUUAAAUUACAUCGGUCGUAACCCACAGGGCCGUAAUAAAGACAUUCCUGGGGAAGGAGUCAGAAGCAGAGCACAAUCAUCAAGUCUUUCAACCUGCUGAUAAUCCACCCUGCUGCUCCGGCUCCUGCAAAUCCAGCUUUGCCAAGAACUUAGUGUGCUUUCCACAGCAGUAAAUAACCAUGUGAGAGUCAACACACCAGGAUGAAUGAACCAUUCUUGCAGACUAGAGAACUGCAUUCAUUUUGCAGAUAGAAGCGAAUAAAAUUUCAAGAACGUGA